rnacentral:rRNA from 1 species
UACAGAGGGUGCGAGCGUUAAUCGGAAUUACUGGGCGUAAAGCGCACGUAGUCGGCUUUGCAAGUCGGGUGUGAAAUCCCCGGGCUCAACCUGGGAACUGCAUCCGAGACUGCAUUGCUAGAGUAUGGGAGAGGGAAGCGGAAUUUCUGGUGUAGCAGUGAAAUGCGUAGAUAUCAGGAGGAACACCAGCGGCGAAGGCGGCACUCUGGGCUGGAACUGACGCUGAGGAGCGAAAGCGUGGGGAGCGAACAGG